rnacentral:rRNA from 1 species
CGUAGGGCAAGCGUUGUCCGGAUUUAUUGGGCGUAAAGAGCGUGUAGGCGGCCAGACAGGUCCGUUGUGAAACUGGAGGCUUAACCUCCAGACGUCGAUGGAAACCGUCUGGCUAGAGUCCGGAAGAGGAGAGUGGAAUUCCUGGUGUAGCGGUGAAAUGCGCAGAUAUCAGGAAGAACACCCGUGGCUAAGGCGGCUCUCUAGUACGGUACUGACGCUGAGACGCGAAAAGCGUGGGGAGCGAACAGGAUU